CGUCACUUCCCUUCCGGGUGAAGGAGGCGCAACGUGUCCCUCUGCUUUUUCAUUUCAGCCAAAGGCUAAAAUAGCCCCAGCAGCCGCUAGUAUCCAGGAUCCAGACCUGAAAGGGUUAACUGAUGAGAUGCCAACCACUAGUUCUCGCUUGACGGUUCAAGAUAUUCCUAAGAAAGAUGGGCCUGUGGGUAAGACUGAGCAUUC